rnacentral:tRNA from 5 species
GCCCCCGUAGCUCAGCGGAUAGAGCAGCCGCCUUCUAAGCGGUUGGUCGCAGGUUCGAUCCCUGCCGGGGGCG